UUCAUCAUCUUUGGCUGUGUUGUACAAAACACAACCAAGGCUGAGGACAAACAAGAUCAACUGAAAGAAUUGGACAGGUAUGCCUUCCUGCUGACCAUGCCAGUG